UACGGGAGGCAGCAGUGGGGAAUAUUGCACAAUGGGCGCAAGCCUGAUGCAGCCAUGCCGCGUGUAUGAAGAAGGCCUUCGGGUUGUAAAGUACUUUCAGUCGUGAGGAAGGUGUUAAGGUUAAUAACCUUAGCAAUUGACGUUAGCGACAGAAGAAGCACCGGCUAACUCCGUGCCAGCAGCCGCGGUAAUACGGAGGGUGCGAGCGUUAAUCGGAAUUACUGGGCGUAAAGGGCACGCAGGCGGUUAAUUAAGUUGGAUGUGAAAUCCCCGGGCUUAACCUGGGAAUGGCAUUCAAGACUGGUUAGCUAGAGUCUUGUAGAGGGGGUAGAAUUCCAUGUGUAGCGGUGAAAUGCGUAGAGAUGUGGAGGAAUCCGGUGGCGAAGGCGGCCCCUGGGACAAGACUGACGCUCAUGUGCGAAAGCGUGGGGAGCAAACAGGGAUUAGAUACC
rnacentral:rRNA from 1 species